GCAACAUAUAGUCCAAACUCCCAAGUGUUGUAAGAAUAAAAGAAAUGAGGACCACACAAAUUCUGCUCUUGGGUCUUGCCCUCAUGGUGCUAUCAUCGGACAUGGCAACCAUUGAGGGGGAAGUGCAUUGCGGCCCUGAGAUUGGAACGGGCCCGUUGCCGUGCGAUCGCGCCAAUUGCACGACAUGGUGUAGGAACAAUGGUGGCAAGAAUGCUGAGUGUGUUCCCGGAGGAUGCAGGUGUGUAGCAUGCUGGAAAGAGCCCCCCAGCUCGCCAUUAUCAAGCUAGGGCCAUAAUGGCACAAGAGUCUUGGCAAGAGUAUUGUAAGAUACCUUUUAUCUCAAAUAAAGCAAGUGAUGUUGAGUCU